GCGGUGCAGGAAGAAGGCCCUUCGGGUUGUAAACUGCUUUUGUACGGAACCGACACCGCCCCCUGGUUAAUACCUGGGGCUAAUGACGGUACCGUAAGAAUAAGCACCGGCUAACUACGUGCCAGCAGCCGCGGUAAUACGUAGGGUGCAAGCGUUAAUCGGAAUUACUGGGCGUAAAGCGUGCGCAGGCGGUUUUGUAAGACAGGCGUGAAAUCCCCGGGCUUAACCUGGGAAUGGCGCUUGUGACUGCAAAGCUGGAGUGCGGCAGAGGGGGAUGGAAUUCCGCGUGUAGCAGUGAAAUGCGUAGAUAUGCGGAGGAACACCGAUGGCGAAGGCAAUCCCCUGGGCGUACACUACGCUCAGCAGAAAG
rnacentral:rRNA from 1 species